rnacentral:rRNA from 1 species
UGGAAAGCGGCGGACGGGUGAGUAACGCGUAGGUAACCUGCCCCAUACAGAGGGAUAGCCACUGGAAACGGUGAUUAAUACCUCAUAAUGCUUUUUUAACGCCUGUUAGAAAGGUCAAAGAUUUAUCGGUAUGGGAUGGACCUGCGUCUGAUUAGCUGGUUGGUGAGGUAACGGCUCACCAAGGCGACGAUCAGUAGCCGACCUGAGAGGGUGAUCGGCCACAUUGGAACUGAGACACGGUCCAAACUCCUGCGGGAGGCAGCAGUAGGGAAUUUUGCGCAAUGGGCGAAAGCCUGACGCAGCAACGCCGCGUGAUUGAUGAAGCCCUUCGGGGUGUAAAGAUCUGUCAGUAGGGACGAACAAAUGACGGUACCUACAGAGGAAGCAUCGGCUAACUCCGUGCCAGCAGCCGCGGUAAUACGGGGGAUGCAAGCGUUGUCCGGAAUCAUUGGGCGUAAAGAGUUCGUAGGUGGCCUGUUAAGUCUGGUGUUAAAUGCAGAGGCUCAACUUCUGUUCGGCACUGGAUACUGGCAAGCUUGAAUGCGGUAGAGGUAAAGGGAAUUCCUGGUGUAGCGGUGAAAUGCGUAGAUAUCAGGAGGAACAUCGGUGGCGAAAGCGCUUUACUGGGCCGUAAUUGACACUGAGAAACGAAAGCCAGGGUAGCAAAUGGGAUUAGAUACCCCAGUAGUCCUGGCCGUAAACGAUGGAUACUAGGUGUAGCGGGUAUCGACCCCUGCUGUGCCGAAGCUAACGCGAUAAGUAUCCCGCCUGGGGAGUACGCACGCAAAUGUGAAACUCAAAGGAAUUGACGGGGACCCGCACAAGCGGUGGAACAUGUGGUUUAAUUCGAAGCAACGCGAAGAACCUUACCAGGGCUUGACAUCUGACGAACCUUUGUGAAAGCGAAGGGUGCUCUUCGGUGAGCGUCAAGACAGGUGGUGCACGGUUGUCGUCAGCUCGUGUCGUGAGAUGUUGGGUUAAGUCCCGCAACGAGCGCAACCCACGUUGUCAGUUGGUACUGUCGGUAUACUUACAGUAACCUCUCUGGCGAGACUGCCGGUGAUAAACCGGAGGAAGGUGUGGACGACGUCAAAUCAUCAUGCCCCUUAUGCUCUGGGCUACACACGUGUUACAAUGGCUGGUACAACGAGUCGCCAACUUGCGAGAGUGAGCAAAUCUCUAAAAACCAGUCUCAGUUCGGAUUGCACUCUGCAACUCGAGUGCAUGAAGUCGGAAUCGCUAGUAAACGCAGAUCAGCACGCUGCGUUGAAUACAUUCCCGGGUCUUGCACACACCGCCCGUCA